rnacentral:lncRNA from 1 species
GCAGGUUGAAGGUCCUGGCUAAAGGAGGAUCCCGUGUCAACCGCAACAACGGGAGCCUUGCUGGUGGCAGACUGAGAAGAGUGUGAGGACAUGGAUCCUUGAGACAUCUACAAUAGGAAAGGAUGGGUUAACGAAAGGACACAGCAAGAUGAGGAGCGGUCGAGAGAAAGAAAAACAAAAAGGAAGAAGGAGAAAGGGUUUGCGGAAGACUGGGCUGCAAGGGUGGAGCCCUACGGGCGUGAGGAAGGAAUGAAAAGGCUUCAGUUGGAGCCCUGAGGUGUAAGAGGACUACAUCCCUCACAGGAGGUGGCACAGGCCACGGAGGGCGGUUCAUCUUCUUCGGGAAGCCCAACAAGGGACCCGGAGCGGGAAGCCUAAUCCUAACCCCAGUCUCAACCACAACAGUCAACAUCCAAUAAUUACCCUAGGCUACAAUCUAAGCAAGUACAACGCAGCAAAUCACACAAUAAAACAUCCAAGGCAGAUAAAGACACACAAAGGGGUUUCGAUCGCAAAAGAGGGGUUUCCUCUGAAGGCUGAUUGGGAACCUAGGGCUUAUGGCCUAAAAUCGUAAUUGGGGCUGCGAAUCGACAAGGCGUCACAGCAACGCCGAGAGUGGCAGUCAGGUCACGAGAUACACAUAACAUAAUCAGGGCCAAAUCAAAGCAUGUGGUGUGUGUGCAUUCAGAGAACGAGUGUACAUAUUUAACUAUACUGGCAUGCAGGGCAUAUUGGCGGUUUAAUCUACUGAAGUAACCUCAGAUGGACAAAUGUGGAUGUGUGCACGCAUACCGAGGUGAGCAAUUGAAAAGUAGAGAAGAGACAAACAGGCAUGGAUCAUACAAGCAUUUAGCCACAAACAUGGAUGAAUGUAAUGAAAAGGAAAGCCGGAGGUCAAGAAACAUACCUUUGGUCGGAAGUAGAAGAAAAGCCGAAGAGAACGCCGGAAAAACGAAAUAGCUCUGCGCCUGGGAUGCUUCGAGUGUGAGAAGUGGGAGAGUGAAGAGUUGGGGAGAUAUAAAAAAAAGUAAGGCAAGGCUUCGGGCCGAUGUAUAUAUAGUGGGAAAAAGUGGGGGACAGCCCUGCCAGGUGGCGCGCUGCGAUUGGAUAGGCAUGCGGAAGCCUUGAUGGUGUGAAGCUUCCCGAGGAGGGGAUUAGACAGCUGAAGGGGUAGAGUUUAAUUGGGACUCCACAGCUGCACCACCAAUCUAGGCGAUUUGGUUGGGUUUGGAAUGAUUUCAAAUUUUAAUUAUGGGAUAAGCCUUAUAUUCAAAUAUUUGGAUAAGCUUUGGAAGUUAAAAGAGCUGGAAUUGGAUUUGUGCGAGCCCGGACAAAUUGGAAAAUAAUUUUAAUUAUCUUUGGGAAUAAAUAUUCAAGGCUUGCGGUGGUUGUAUUGAAUUAAUAUAAUUGGUUUUAUAAUUAUGUGUGGGAAUUACGUCUGAAUUAUUUCUUGUUUCUUACAUCGGGCUACGCCCACGUAAGCUUAGAAAUAAUUUACGAUUAAUUUCUGACAUAAUUUAAGGGCUUGCAGCUGGAUGAUUGAGGGUUACCGUUCUUAGGUUCCUCUCGUAUUUAAUACUUCAAGGAACCGGGGGGUAGUUGUUGUGCCAUAAAAUCUCCCUGGGCUUAUUUUACAGCCCAUCAUAUUAUUUGGGCUUCACUUGGGC